AUUGAACGCUGGCGGCAGGCCUAACACAUGCAAGUCGAGCGGAUGAAGGGAGCUUGCUCCUGGAUUCAGCGGCGGACGGGUGAGUAAUGCCUAGGAAUCUGCCUGGUAGUGGGGGAUAACGUCCGGAAACGGGCGCUAAUACCGCAUACAUCCUGAGGGAGAAAGUGGGGGAUCUUCGGACCUCACGCUAUCAGAUGAGCCUAGGUCGGAUUAGCUAGUUGGUGGGGUAAAGGCCUACCAAGGCGACGAUCCGUAACUGGUCUGAGAGGAUGAUCAGUCACACUGGAACUGAGACACGGUCCAGACUCCUACGGGAGGCAGCAGUGGGGAAUAUUGGACAAUGGGCGAAAGCCUGAUCCAGCCAUGCCGCGUGUGUGAAGAAGGUCUUCGGAUUGUAAAGCACUUUAAGUUGGGAGGAAGGGCAGUAAGUUAAUACCUUGCUGUUUUGACGUUACCAACAGAAUAAGCACCGGCUAACUCCGUG
rnacentral:rRNA from 1 species